rnacentral:rRNA from 1 species
GAUGAACGCUGGCGGCGUGCCUAAUACAUGCAAGUCGAGCGAACGGACGAGAAGCUUGCUUCUCUGAUGUUAGCGGCGGACGGGUGAGUAACACGUGGAUAACCUACCUAUAAGACUGGGAUAACUUCGGGAAACCGGAGCUAAUACCGGAUAAUAUUUUGAACCGCAUGGUUCAAAAGUGGAAGACGGUCUCGCUGUCACUUAUAGAUGGAUCCGCGCUGCAUUAGCUAGUUGGUAAGGUAACGGCUUACCAAGGCAACGAUGCAUAGCCGACCUGAGAGGGUGAUCGGCCACACUGGAACUGAGACACGGUCCAGACUCCUACGGGAGGCAGCAGUAGGGAAUCUUCCGCAAUGGGCGAAAGCCUGACGGAGCAACGCCGCGUGAGUGAUGAAGGUCUUCGGAUCGUAAAACUCUGUUAUUAGGGAAGAACAUAUGUGUAAGUAACUGUGCACAUCUUGACGGUACCUAAUCAGAAAGCCACGGCUAACUACGUG